UACGGGAGGCAGCAGUGGGGAAUAUUGCACAAUGGGCGCAAGCCUGAUGCAGCCAUGCCGCGUGUAUGAAAAAGGCCUUCGGGUUGUAAAGUACUUUCAGUCGUGAGGAAGGUGUUAAGGUUAAUAACCUUAGCAAUUGACGUUAGCGACAGAAGAAGCACCGGCUAACUCCGUGCCAGCAGCCGCGGUAAUACGGAGGGUGCGAGCGUUAAUCGGAAUUACUGGGCGUAAAGGGCACGCAGGCGGUUAAUUAAGUUGGAUGUGAAAUCCCCGGGCUUAACCUGGGAAUGGCAUUCAAGACUGGUUAGCUAGAGUCUUGUAGAGGGGGUAGAAUUCCAUGUGUAGCGGUGAAAUGCGUAGAGAUGUGGAGGAAUACCGGUGGCGAAAGGCGGCCCCUGGACAAAGACUGACGCUCAUGUGCGAAAAGCGUGGGGAGCAAAACAGGGAUUAGAUACC
rnacentral:rRNA from 1 species